rnacentral:rRNA from 1 species
NNNGGCCACCAUACCACUUUGGAAACACUGGUUCUCAUCCGACCACCGAAGUAAAGCGAGGUUGGGCCCGGUUAAAACUUGCGUGGGUGACCGGCUGGGAAUACCGGGUGUUGCCAGCU